rnacentral:rRNA from 1 species
CUUAGCGGCGGACGGGUGAGUAACGCGUGGGAACAUACCCUUUGGUACGGAAUAGCCUCGGGAAACUGGGUUUAAUACCGUAUACGCCCUUCGGGGGAAAGAUUUAUCGGAGAAGGAUCGGCCCGCGUUGGAUUAGGUAGUUGGUGGGGUAAUGGCCCACCAAGCCGACGAUCUAUAGCUGGUUUGAGAGGAUGAUCAGCCACACUGGGACUGAGACACGGCCCAGACUCC